GGACUGAACAACCCCUGAACAUCCAAUUUGCAAUAAAUGGCUCUCCUACUGGCAUGGACACCACCAAACUACAAUCUAAUGGACUCAAAUUCUUAGUGACAUGCAUGCAAAAUGCAGAUGACACAUGAAUGUGUGGACCCAAGAUCAAUCAAUAUGUAUACAUCAUGAUUACAUAUGAAUAAUUUACCUAUCACUACAUCAAGAGUAGCUUGUGUUCUUGCCUAGUCAUGGCAUACACCCUUGCUUCAGCCCUCAGUCUACUUAGUGUGGCCUCCGAUCUACUAGUACUAGUUUUCUCCUGAUUUGCUCCACCUCUUGCUGGAAAUCCUCGAGAAGUGUUCAGUCCAGGUGGAAGACCCCUAGCUGGAACAUUCUUAGGGCAAUCCUUACUUUGAUGUCCUAUCUGUCUACACUCAUAACACUUUUUGAAUCCUCUUCUACAUUCUCCAAAAUGAAACUUUCUACACUUAGUACACGGAGGGACCUAGCUUGGUGAUGUGGUAACU
rnacentral:lncRNA from 1 species